GACGAACGCUGGCGGCGUGCUUAACACAUGCAAGUCGAACGGAGAUGCUCCAGCUUGCUGGAGUGGAUCAGUGGCGAACGGGUGAGUAACACGUGAGCAACCUGCCCCAGACUCUGGAAUAAGCGCUGGAAACGGCGUCUAAUACCGGAUACGAAACUGGCCCGCAUGGGCAUGGUUUGGAAAGUUUUUCGGUUUGGGAUGGGCUCGCGGCCUAUCAGCUUGUUGGUGAGGUAAUGGCUCACCAAGGCGACGACGGGUAGCCGGCCUGAGAGGGCGACCGGCCACACUGGGACUGAGACACGGCCCAGACUCCUACGGGAGGCAGCAGUGGGGAAUAUUGCACAAUGGGCGAAAGCCUGAUGCAGCGACGCCGCGUGGGGGAUGACGGCCUUCGGGUUGUAAACCUCUUUCGGCAGGGAAGAAGCGAAAGUGACGGUACCUGCAGAAGAAGCACCGGCUAACUACGUG
rnacentral:rRNA from 1 species